AACACUAUUCAAAAUGAACCACAUAAUCGAUAACAACAAACAGUCGGAGCUUCUAACAAAUGAACAGCUUCUAACACUAACAGCUGUAACAACAAGAAAAUGUAAACAACAAAGAUCGGGUCCCGGCUCCGGACCCAGCGUACCCGCCCUACCUUAGACGAUCACCUAAUCUCGUCUCCCUCAUUUUGGCCACUAGAUGGCCUGCAUCAGCCCGUGUCGGCUGUUAUGCCCACUGUCCCCAUCAAUUUAAACUUAACCGGGCAUUCUUUUCCUUCAAUAUCCAUUUACAAUCUCAUGCAAGCGGACAUUUCCCUCAACUUCACAGAUGGCAGUCGCAAUAGUGUUUGGGGACGUUCCCUCCCGUUACAUGAUUAAUUGUUAGUUUUACCAGGAAAAACAACUGCAGCUUGAUGUCAGCAGCACGCUGUCUCUGGGCUGAGUCUGGGGAGGGGAGUGCUUGGAAGGG